rnacentral:rRNA from 1 species
UACGAAGGGGGCUAGCGUUGCUCGGAAUCACUGGGCGUAAAGGGCGCGUAGGCGGAUCUUUAAGUCGGGGGUGAAAGCCUGAGGCUCAACCUCAGAAUUGCCUUCGAUACUGGAGAUCUUGAGACCGGAAGAGGUAAGUGGAACUGCGAGUGUAGAGGUGAAAUUCGUAGAUAUUCGCAAGAACACCAGUGGCGAAGGCGGCUUACUGGUCCGGUUCGUGACG